rnacentral:rRNA from 1 species
AAUUGCGAAGGCAGCUUUCUGGAUCAUUACUGACACUGAGGAACGAAAGCAUGGGUAGCGAAGAGGAUUAGAUACCCUCGUAGUCCAUGCCGUAAACGAUGUGUGUUAGACGUUGGAAAUUUAUUUUCAGUGUCGCAGGGAAACCGAUAAACACACCGCCUGGGGAGUACGACCGCAAGGUUAAAACUCAAAUGAAUUGACGGGGACCCGCACAAGUAGUGGAGCAUGUGGUUUAAUUCGAAGAUACGCGCAGAACCUUACCAACACUUGACAUGUUCGUCGCGACUCUAAGAGAUUAGAGUUUUCGGUUCGGCCGGACGAAACACAGGUGCUGCAUGGCUGUCGUCAGCUCGUGUCGUGAGAUGUUGGGUUAAGUCCCGCAACGAGCGCAACCCUCACUUUUAGUUGCCAUCAUUAAGUUGGGCACUCUGAAAGAACUGCCAGUGAUAAGCUGGAGGAAGGUGGGGAUGACGUCAAGUCCUCAUGGCCCUUACGUGUUGGGCUACACACGUGCUACAAUGGCAUCUACAACAGGAAGCAAAACGGCAACGUUAAGCAAAUCCCGAAAAGAUGCCUCAGUUCGGAUUGCACUCUGCAACUCGAGUGCAUGAAGCUGGAAUUACUAGUAAUCGUGGAUCAGCGUGCCACGGUGAAUGCGUUCCCGGGUCUUGUACACACCGCCCGUCACACCAUGGGAGUUGGUUCUACCUUAAGGCAAGGUUUUAAACCCUUGACCACGGUAUAGUCAGCGACUGGGGUGAAGUCGUAACAAGGUAGCCGUA